GCCCCCGUAGCUCAGUAAUGGAUAGAGCAAGGGAUUCCUAAUCCCUGUGUCCCGAGUUCGAGUCUCGGCGGGGGCGCCA
rnacentral:tRNA from 1 species